UUUGAGGUCCCUCUCCUGAUUGGCUCCUUCCACGUCGCGGCAACUCUGAAAACCGGCUGUGGAGGGAUACUUCCGGGUUCGACUCCUGCUGUGGCUGUAAGCUCGUGGCGUUUAGAACGGCGUUGGAAAACAAAGCGUUUUCUCCUCUCAUUUCACCUCAGCGGUAAGUGUCCUUAAUAUCUACCAAAAACAACCUUUUGGUUGUCAGUAACCAGUCGAUCUUUUUCGCGAUUAAAAAAUGACUUUGUUCGGCGGCGUUCCCACCGCGAGCAGAACUCCGGUUCAAACACCGCUGUUUUUGAACACUUUUAUUUACUUAAGCACUUUAAUGGGCUUACUUUAAAACAAAGUGCGAUUGAAUGAUUAUUGUUAUGUGUUGCCUUGGAUUCGGCUAUGCUGUCUGUUAGACAGUAGUUUCUUUAUUGUUGUUUUUGUAUUGUUUGUAGCGAACGCUACUGGAAUGUAUAGAUUAAGCUACGUAGCCAAGAUGAUUAAUAAUUUAACUGUUGUACAUUGAUGAUUCAUGAUUUGCAUCGUUACAUAGACUUGCAGAAAAAUAUAUUUGUUUACCGGUAAACUGAAUCGAACUUGAUGUGCUAAUGGACAUUUUUCUGACCUACGUGUAACCCAGAGUAAUUUCCUGCACUAAUUUCCUGCCAUUGAACGCAUCACAAAUAAAUGACUCCAACCACAUGACUUUGCUCAGCCAAUCGGAUGGCAUGUAGGUCAUAGUAAGCCUGUCCCGGCUUCCUCCGGUCAGAUGCGUGGAGGCAAGCCAGGUGACAGAGCUGUUACAGAUGCUGAUUACUGUGAGCCCGAGCCAUAAUGUUGUUGUGCACUGAACAGAACGGAAUUGGCCAGGUGAACCUUUUUUGGGGUAUGAAAAAGGAUGGCGAGCCAAUGAACUGCUAGGAGCAGGACUCAUUCUGCAAUUGAAGCUUCCACUGGUUGGGUAGGAAGCUAUCAAAGACAACGCUCUGUCCCCAUUUUCCAAAUACACUGAUUUCCGCAAUCAUACACACCAUUCCCCUCAUUUCUGGACAAUAGCGCUUGGACAUCUCUCAUGGACAUUCAGAUGAAACUCAUGGACUUCAGUGUGGAUCAGUGGAUUUGAUAUUAACAUGUAUUUUUUAUGGGGGAACCGUUUUUUGAAAAUCUGUAUUGCUUGGUAUAACCCAGAAGAAUCUGCUUAGAUGUCUUUGUGCACCCUCACUGGGUUUUGAUUAAUUGGAUAGCUGCAGCAGGAGUGAUUAUUGAAGUUUUUCUUUUGUUGUUUUUCUUUGGGGUUGGUUAAAUACAUGGUACCUGCAAAAACAUUUGUGUUGUGUGUAUUUAUUAAUUACUGCCCAUCAGCUCCAGUAGCAUUCCUAAAUCUUCUGAUUAAUGAUAACCAUAUUUCACUCAAUCCCUAGCCUGUAUUAAUUCAUUAGUGCUUCAUCAGUGUUACAUACAGGUCAGGUUUUUUGUCCCCCUUUGAAUUGAUCUUCUUCAUAUUGAAGUGGCGAGCCGGUAGGACUUUUUUAUUUUAUUUUAUUUUAUUUUUUUUUCCACUUUGCCGUCUUUGGAUUACGGACAUAUUUCCCCAUUGUAUGAUGCUGGACCCUAAGGAGGAAUACCUUAAAAGUGAACUUUAAAAAUAAUAUUUUGCCCUUUAAGUUACAAAGAGAAUUUUUAAUGUGUUCAAGGGGAGAAGAUGGUAGAAGGAAAUUUUAUUUUAAGCAUCAGUUAGCUAGGACAACACAAAGAUUCAUGAGUGCAACGGUUAGGGGUAUACGACUGUGGAACUCUCUUCAUUAUAAUUUAAAGAAUUGUAUAAGUUUAUAUUGUUUUAAAGUGUUACAUGCUUAAAACGAUAACUCAAUAUGAAGAAUGUGAAUGAAAUUGGAGUUCAUUGAAAAUGGAUCCUUUUAUAAUUUUUAUUUAUUUUAAUUUUAUUUUUCUCCUUGUUACUAUGUGGAGUGGUAUAUUCUGAUAGUAAAUUUGUUGUUUGGUUUGUGUUAGGACCGGAGAGAAAUGUUAAUGUUAGUUUGUUCCCUGAUUUUUGGUGUCCACUUGUAAUAUAAGUUGGAUUGUAGAUAGGGGGCGGGGUUUAAUAAGAAUAUUUUCUUCUUCCUGCUCCUUUUCACACAUGGUUGUAGUGCUUUUUGAUAGAAAGUGUUGGUUUGUUUGAUCUGUUGUACCAAGUGUGAAAUAAAUAAAUGAAAAGGACCAAAAAGGACUCUUGCACAGAAAUCACAGCUUUGAUUUAUUACUUGUGGGCAUUUAUGUUGUGUGUUGUAUAAUUUUUGUUCCAUUUCCCCUUCCCCCAUUUAUUUAAUAUAUUUUUGGUACAGGAUAUUGCAGUCUUUGGUCUCAUCAUUCACACCAUCUAGGCUCCAUAAAGAACUAUUUCUUCUGCGCGUCAGUCAGUAAACUCAUCCAUUGCAAUA